GCACUGGGGUAGGUGUGACUGAAUUACCAUACUAUUAAAUUCUUGUCACUCUGGCAAUGCAUUGAAAGUGAGGGGAUCACACAUCAUCGUCUGUGACAGAGGUCAGGAAUGGUCACUGACAUCAAUUAUUGGAUCAAUGCCCUGCAUCUAGCGAACAAGGUUAUCAAAAUAUGAGACCUGGAUCAUUGGGAUAGUUAUGGAGUCUCCGGAGAAUCCAGUGCUGGAUUAAGGAAAAAGUAACAGGAUAGAGAAGGACCUCAAGGAAUAGACAGUCCUAGGUCAGAAGAGGCACCCCCACAGAGACUAGGAUGGAAUGUUACCAACUUCCUGCCUCCUUGUGAGAAUGACUCGAGGAAGGAGAGAAAUAGAUCUCUGUAAAGAAGGAUGAUUCUCAGGGAAAUCUCAGAUUUUCAGUGAUGCAUCACCCACACAGCUGCAGCACCCUAAGAAAAAAACAUUGCUGCCAGCAUCUGUGAUGAAGUGAGAGAGAGGAAAAACGGAUAGAGAGAGAGGCUGACGGAGAAGUACAAGGCCUAACAAGGUUAUAUAUGCCAUCGAGAUCAGCGCUUCACCGAUGUCAUUCUACGUUGCUGUUCAGGUGUAUCGUCUUUCACAUUAUCAUUCACGAUCAUUGAUUUCCAGUUAUGCUAGAAGCAUCUCGUCUUUAGUGACGAGCAGGACAAAGGAUUCCCUCCAAAGGGCUUCAGAAAACGUGAUGAUUUCGGAGGUCUGUGUGCUGCACACCCUCUACGAGCCAUAACCUUCAUUCAUGGCACAGUCUACCAUUACAAAACAAUAACUUCAAAUCGCCGAACAGCAUCUCCAAUUACAGCUUGUUCCUCUUGUAAUAAUAUCGCAGAAUAUGACAUUAUUCUUUAUUAUGGAGGAUGUUUUCAGGCAUGUCCCGCCACAACCACAAAAUGAUGCUUGAGCUCGACUUGAACUCUUCACAGCACCUUGAAUUUCUUUAAAACUACAGUGCAGUACCUUCAUUUAUUUAUAGACAACGUUACAUGUAAAAAACAAUGCAACUGUUGUUUUGUACAGAGGUUUUCUAGCCAGAGGCUAAUUUGCAAACUUAGUCCUUGGUUGAACUUUUAAAAACAGACAAUAAGAGCACCUGUUGAUUCUCACACACACACACACACACACAUGUAGGGUAUACCUAUCCUUAUGGGGCCCACUCAGUCACUUCUGUGGGAAAAAUGCUAAACGCUAACUAUGACGACCUUAACCCCCACCCUGCCCUAACCAUAACCAUAAGUACUCAAGCAAAAUACAAGAGUUUUGAGUAUUUUUAGUUUUUUCAUAGCAGUCACUGAUUUUUAUAAAAUAAGUUUUCCCUUAUGGGGACCAGGAAACUGGUACCCAAAAGGGGGAAAAACGGAUAUUUAUCAUGUUAUGAGGACAUUGUGUCCCCAUAAGGAUAGGUAUACCCGCUCGCACGUCACGCACGCACGCAC